rnacentral:tRNA from 1 species
GCACCCGUGGCUCAAUCGGUAGAGCAAUUGACUCUUAAUCAAUGGGUUGGAGGUUCGAGUCCUCCCGGGUGCACCA